rnacentral:lncRNA from 1 species
GAAACGGAGGUGAGGUUGAGUCAUUUUAAUUCCUUUUUUAUAGGGUGCAAAACAUGCCCAUCGUGGCACUGACUUUCUCCCUCUCGUUUUUUCUUUAUUCCUUUUCUGUGUCAAUGAUUUCCAUGAAAAAUCCUUGAAUAACAUUUCCGACUUGAGAAACGCAUCUGUCAGGUGAUGUCAACGCCUGGCUUACUCCUCUUCCUGUUGGGUUGCAAACACGGCCUUCUCUCACGGUCCUGGAAUGCUGACACGGUCGGGCAGCCAGAGCCUAACACAGGAGGAACUUCCGUGGUCAUCCCAGUCAUGUGAUGUAAGGGCAAUGACAGCAAUGGUAUAAGGAAGAGUCCGGAAGCCACCAUGCCCAGAACCAUCAGCCUCAAGCAAAUCAUCUUCCCUUGUCCUCUUGCUCUCAUCUUACCCUUCAGACAAAAUCCAUGAAUUAUUGAUCAAAUUUGGAUCUCUGUGUGCUGUCCUCCAAUUUAAUACCUUCUCUGUUGCUGUUUUGUUUUCUUUCUUCUGGAACGUGGCAGAGUGCUUCAAGGUGGGUGGCAGAUGUCUGACUCAAUCUUCUACAUUAAUAGGUUUUCUCUGUAUUGUUAUAAUUAAUUUUAAAUUGAUUUUAUAAAAUUUAUAAUUAUAGGAUUUUUUUUCAUGUUCAAUUCCAUUUAAAUUUUUUCCUAUUUGCCCAUUCUUCUUUUUUCUUAUCACUUUGAAUAUACUGGUCUCAC